rnacentral:rRNA from 1 species
GGUUAAGCGACUAAGCGUACACGGUGGAUGCCCUGGCAGUCAGAGGCGAUGAAGGACGUGCUAAUCUGCGAUAAGCGUCGGUAAGGUGAUAUGAACCGUUAUAACCGGCGAUUUCCGAAUGGGGAAACCCAGUGUGAUUCGUCACACUAUCAUUAACUGAAUCCAUAGGUUAAUGAGGCGAACCGGGGGAACUGAAACAUCUAAGUACCCCGAGGAAAAGAAAUCAACCGAGAUUCCCCCAGUAGCGGCGAGCGAACGGGGAGCAGCCCAGAGCCUGAAUCAGUGUGUGUGUUAGUGGAAGCGUCUGGAAAGGCGUGCGAUACAGGGUGACAGCCCCGUACACAAAAAUGCACAUAUUGUGAGCUCGAUGAGUAGGGCGGGACACGUGGUAUCCUGUCUGAAUAUGGGGGGACCAUCCUCCAAGGCUAAAUACUCCUGACUGACCGAUAGUGAACCAGUACCGUGAGGGAAAGGCGAAAAGAACCCCGGCGAGGGGAGUGAAAAAGAACCUGAAACCGUGUACGUACAAGCAGUGGGAGCACGCUUAGGCGUGUGACUGCGUACCUUUUGUAUAAUGGGUCAGCGACUUAUAUUCUGUAGCAAGGUUAACCGAAUAGGGGAGCCGAAGGGAAACCGAGUCUUAACUGGGCGUUAAGUUGCAGGGUAUAGACCCGAAACCCGGUGAUCUAGCCAUGGGCAGGUUGAAGGUUGGGUAACACUAACUGGAGGACCGAACCGACUAAUGUUGAAAAAUUAGCGGAUGACUUGUGGCUGGGGGUGAAAGGCCAAUCAAACCGGGAGAUAGCUGGUUCUCCCCGAAAGCUAUUUAGGUAGCGCCUCGUGAAUUCAUCUCCGGGGGUAGAGCACUGUUUCGGCAAGGGGGUCAUCCCGACUUACCAACCCGAUGCAAACUGCGAAUACCGGAGAAUGUUAUCACGGGAGACACACGGCGGGUGCUAACGUCCGUCGUGAAGAGGGAAACAACCCAGACCGCCAGCUAAGGUCCCAAAGUCAUGGUUAAGUGGGAAACGAUGUGGGAAGGCCCAGACAGCCAGGAUGUUGGCUUAGAAGCAGCCAUCAUUUAAAGAAAGCGUAAUAGCUCACUGGUCGAGUCGGCCUGCGCGGAAGAUGUAACGGGGCUAAACCAUGCACCGAAGCUGCGGCAGCGACGCUUAUGCGUUGUUGGGUAGGGGAGCGUUCUGUAAGCCUGUGAAGGUGUGCUGUGAGGCAUGCUGGAGGUAUCAGAAGUGCGAAUGCUGACAUAAGUAACGAUAAAGCGGGUGAAAAGCCCGCUCGCCGGAAGACCAAGGGUUCCUGUCCAACGUUAAUCGGGGCAGGGUGAGUCGACCCCUAAGGCGAGGCCGAAAGGCGUAGUCGAUGGGAAACAGGUUAAUAUUCCUGUACUUGGUGUUACUGCGAAGGGGGGACGGAGAAGGCUAUGUUGGCCGGGCGACGGUUGUCCCGGUUUAAGCGUGUAGGCUGGUUUUCCAGGCAAAUCCGGAAAAUCAAGGCUGAGGCGUGAUGACGAGGCACUACGGUGCUGAAGCAACAAAUGCCCUGCUUCCAGGAAAAGCCUCUAAGCAUCAGGUAACAUCAAAUCGUACCCCAAACCGACACAGGUGGUCAGGUAGAGAAUACCAAGGCGCUUGAGAGAACUCGGGUGAAGGAACUAGGCAAAAUGGUGCCGUAACUUCGGGAGAAGGCACGCUGAUAUGUAGGUGAAGUCCCUCGCGGAUGGAGCUGAAAUCAGUCGAAGAUACCAGCUGGCUGCAACUGUUUAUUAAAAACACAGCACUGUGCAAACACGAAAGUGGACGUAUACGGUGUGACGCCUGCCCGGUGCCGGAAGGUUAAUUGAUGGGGUCAGCGCAAGCGAAGCUCUUGAUCGAAGCCCCGGUAAACGGCGGCCGUAACUAUAACGGUCCUAAGGUAGCGAAAUUCCUUGUCGGGUAAGUUCCGACCUGCACGAAUGGCGUAAUGAUGGCCAGGCUGUCUCCACCCGAGACUCAGUGAAAUUGAACUCGCUGUGAAGAUGCAGUGUACCCGCGGCAAGACGGAAAGACCCCGUGAACCUUUACUAUAGCUUGACACUGAACAUUGAGCCUUGAUGUGUAGGAUAGGUGGGAGGCUUUGAAGUGUGGACGCCAGUCUGCAUGGAGCCGACCUUGAAAUACCACCCUUUAAUGUUUGAUGUUCUAACGUUGACCCGUAAUCCGGGUUGCGGACAGUGUCUGGUGGGUAGUUUGACUGGGGCGGUCUCCUCCUAAAGAGUAACGGAGGAGCACGAAGGUUGGCUAAUCCUGGUCGGACAUCAGGAGGUUAGUGCAAUGGCAUAAGCCAGCUUGACUGCGAGCGUGACGGCGCGAGCAGGUGCGAAAGCAGGUCAUAGUGAUCCGGUGGUUCUGAAUGGAAGGGCCAUCGCUCAACGGAUAAAAGGUACUCCGGGGAUAACAGGCUGAUACCGCCCAAGAGUUCAUAUCGACGGCGGUGUUUGGCACCUCGAUGUCGGCUCAUCACAUCCUGGGGCUGAAGUAGGUCCCAAGGGUAUGGCUGUUCGCCAUUUAAAGUGGUACGCGAGCUGGGUUUAGAACGUCGUGAGACAGUUCGGUCCCUAUCUGCCGUGGGCGCUGGAGAACUGAGGGGGGCUGCUCCUAGUACGAGAGGACCGGAGUGGACGCAUCACUGGUGUUCGGGUUGUCAUGCCAAUGGCACUGCCCGGUAGCUAAAUGCGGAAGAGAUAAGUGCUGAAAGCAUCUAAGCACGAAACUUGCCCCGAGAUGAGUUCUCCCUGACUCCUUGAGAGUCCUGAAGGAACGUUGAAGACGACGACGUUGAUAGGCCGGGUGUGUAAGCGCAGCGAUGCGUUGAGCUAACCGGUACUAAUGAACCGUGAGGCUUAACCUU